GAUGAACGCUAGCGGCAGGCUUAAUACAUGCAAGUCGUGGGGCAGCACAGGUAGCAAUACUGGGUGGCGACCGGCAAACGGGUGCGGAACACGUACGCAACCUUCCUUUAAGCGGGGGAUAGCCCCAGGGAAACUUGGAUUAAUACCCCAUAAGAAUGUGGACUGGCAUCAGUCAGCAUUUAAAGCUCCGGCACUUAAAGAUGGGCGUGCGGCUGAUUAGGUAGUUGGCGGGGUAACGGCCCACCAAGCCGACGAUCAGUAACUGGUGUG
rnacentral:rRNA from 1 species